AAAGAAGGAACUGACUGACCAGAAUGAAAAGAGGAACAGUGCUCAGCCCAAGCAAGUCUGAUGAAGGGUGACUGAGAGUCCGGCGCUCCCAGGCUUGGAGUGGGACCACAGAUUAAAGUGUUUGGGUGAUGAAGAGAGGAAUCUAAAGAUGGAAGGAGCUGACCCCUAAUCACCUUCAGAGCAGGUUUCUAGACGGUGGAUUUCCCAACCUCCCCUUUCUUGAGGUUUCUACUAUAUUGUCCUCUU